CGCAAGCCUGACGGAGCAAGACCGCGUGCGGGAUGACGGCCUAAUGGUUGUAAACCGCUUUUCUCUGGGAAGAUGAUGACGGUACCAGAGGAAUCAGCCUCGGCUAACUCCGUGCCAGCAGCCGCGGUAAUACGGAGGAGGCAAGCGUUAUCCGGAAUUAUUGGGCGUAAAGCGUCCGUAGGUGGUGAAUCAAGUCUGCUGUCAAAGCGUGGGGCUUAACUCCAUAGAGGCAGUGGAAACUGGUUGACUAGAGUGCGGUAGGGGUCGAGGGAAUUCCCAGUGUAGCGGUGAAAUGCGUAGAUAUUGGGAAGAACACCAGUGGCGAAAGCGCUCGACUGGGCCUGCACUGACACUGAGGGACGAAAGCUAGGGGAGCG
rnacentral:rRNA from 1 species